UACGGAGAAUCCAAGCGUUAUCCGGAUUUAUUGGGUUUAAAGGGUGCGUAGGCGGAUUGAUAAGUUAGAGGUGAAAUGUCCGAGCUCAACUCGGGAACUGCCUCUAAUACUGUUGAUCUAGAGAGUAGAUGCGGUAGGCGGAAUGUAUGGUGUAGCGGUGAAAUGCUUAGAGAUCAUACAGAACACCGAUUGCGAAGGCAGCUUACCAAUCUAUAUCUGACGUUGAGGCACGAAAGCGUGGGGAGCAAACAGG
rnacentral:rRNA from 1 species